rnacentral:rRNA from 1 species
AUUGAGAGUUUGAUCCUGGCUCAGGACGAACGCUGGCGGCGUGCCUAACACAUGCAAGUCGAGCGAUGAAGCUUCUUCGGAAGUGGAUUAGCGGCGGACGGGUGAGUAACACGUGGGCAACCUGCCUCAUAGAGAGGGAUAGCCUUUCGAAAGGA